rnacentral:rRNA from 1 species
ACGAGGCUGGGGGGGCAACUCUCCAGUCGAGUGGCGGACGGGUGAGUAACACGUGGGUAACCUGCCCGGAAGUGGGGAAUACCUCGGGGAAACUCGAGCUAAUACCGCAUGACAUCUUCGGGACGAAAGUCCUGACGAUCAAAGCGGGGUCGCAAGAUCUCGCGCUACCGGAUGGGCCCGCGCCCGAUUAGCUAGUUGGCGAGGUAACGGCUCACCAAGGCUUCGAUCGGUAACCGGCCUGAGAGGGCGAUCGGUCACACCGGAACUGAGACACGGUCCGGACUCCUACGGGAGGCAGCAGUGGGGAAUCUUGCGCAAUGGGCGAAAGCCUGACGCAGCAACGCCGCGUGGAGGAUGAAGGCCCUUGGGUUGUAAACUCCUGUCGGUUGGGAAGAAAUCUUGCGGGGCUCAUACCUCCGCAAGUUGACUGUACCAGCAAAGGAAGCCCCGGCUAACUCUGUGCCAGCAGCCGCGGUAAUACAGAGGGGGCCAGCGUUAUUCGGAAUUAUUGGGCGUAAAGGGCGCGUAGGCGGCCUUGCGUGUCUUUCGUGAAAUCCCUCGGCUUAACUGAGGACGUGCGGAAGAAACUGCAGGGCUCGAGUCCGGGAGAGGGGGGUGGAAUUCCCAGUGUAGCGGUGAAAUGCGUAGAUAUUGGGAGGAACACCGGUGGCGAAGGCGGCCCCCUGGACCGGUACUGACGCUGAGGCGCGA